CUACAAAGGAAGUUGACGGGGCCCGCACAAGCGGUGGAGCAUGUGGUUAAUUCGACGCAACGCGAAGAACCUUACCAGGGCUUGACAUCCCCUGACCGCGUAUGAAAGUACGUUUUCACCCUCGGGUGACAGGGAGACAGGUGGUGCAUGGUUGUCGUCAGCUCGUGUCGUGAGAUGUUGGGUUAAGUCCCGCAACGAGCGCAACCCCUACGUUUAGUUGCUAACGCGUGAAGGCGAGCACUCUAGACGAACUGCCGUUGACAAAACGGAGGAAGGUGGGGAUGACGUCAAAUCAUCAUGCCCCUUAUGUUCUGGGCUACACACGUGCUACAAUGGCCGGUACAGACGGACGCAAAGCCGCGAGGUGGAGCAAAUCCUAAAAAGCCGGUCUCAGUUCGGAUUGCAGGCUGCAAUUCGCCUGCAUGAAGUCGGAAUCGCUAGUAAUCGCAGGUCAGCAUACUGCGGUGAAUACGUUCCCGGGUCUU
rnacentral:rRNA from 1 species